rnacentral:rRNA from 1 species
CCUACGGGAGGCAGCAGUAGGGAAUAUUGCUCAAUGGGGGAAACCCUGAAGCAGCAACGCCGCGUGGAGGAUGAAGGUUUUCGGAUUGUAAACUCCUUUUGUUAGAGAAGAUAAUGACGGUAUCUAACGAAUAAGCACCGGCUAACUCCGUGCCAGCAGCCGCGGUAAUACGGAGGGUGCAAGCGUUACUCGGAAUCACUGGGCGUAAGGAGCGCGUAGGCGGGAUAGCAAGUCAGAUGUGAAAUCCUAUGGCUUAACCAGAGAACUGCAUUUGAAACUGUUAUUCUAGAGUAUGGGAGAGGUAGGUGGAAUGCGUGGUGUAGGGGUAAAAUCCGUAGAGAUCAAGAGGAAUACUCAUUGCGAAGGCGACCUGCUAGAACAUAACUGACGCUGAUGCGCGAAAGCGUGGGGAGCAAACAGGAUUAGAUACCCCUGUAGUC